GCCUGGGUGGCUCAGUGGUUGAGUGUCUGCCUUCAGAUCAGGUGGUGAUCCUGGGAUCCCAGGAUCCAGUCCUGCAUCAGGCU
rnacentral:tRNA from 1 species